AAUCUGGGCUCAUAUCGUGAUACAGGCGCUCAUAAUUCCAUUACAUUGAAUGGCAGUAUUUUUCAGAACCUGUCUCGCCAGCGCGCACAGACCUGAAGGUUAAGAUGGGAGUCCAGGCUGCUUUCCAACUAGAGAGAGAACAGAGGAGAAAGGAGAGAGAAGAGAGCUCCCCCCUCUGGCCAUUCCAUCUUCCCAGGAUGCCAGUGUAGAAACAGGGGCUGCUGAGCUGAUCAAUCCCAGAAUGCCCCCUGAUGUCUGGAUUGAUCUCCUGCAGGGGUUCUGCUCCCAGAUCUUUCAGUUUUAAUGAGAAUCGCUCACAGAGAGGCUGGAUUGAUAACGCCGCUGUCCUGAAGCUCUCUCUCUCAGACUGGGACACAUUGUUUAUCAUUUAUUUAUUGUCUAGGUUAAAAGAUAUUGCAACAUCCUUUCUUUUUUUUUCUCUUUUUUUAAAUUUAUAGUAUCCAAUAAUUUUUUUACCCCAGUGUGGUAGAAUGCAGGAUGGUCAAGGUUGGUCAACAAUACAAACCCAGACUUGGGUAUUGGAGUUUAAGAGCUUUCGUGCACUUUAUAUUCACAAAUAUACAAAGCUUCAAAAUAAAUAAAUCCCCAAAACACCCAAAGCUACCGUGUUUACCUUCCUUUCUCUCUCACACUCCCCACUCCCCACUCUCCACUCCCCACUCUACACUGCA